rnacentral:ncRNA from 2 species
GAAUACAUUAGAUUUUAAGGUUCUAUUUACAAUAGAUUAAAAGGGAAAGAGGUGUGAUUCCUCUACAGCCCCCGUUACUGUAAUGUGGACGAAACUCAACAAUACCACUGUGAAAAUUUAUAAAAGAAAAGCGAAUUUUGAGCAACGGAGUUGUCUGAAAUUGCAUGGUGCCGACGUAGUCGCUUAAAGCGGUAGCAAAGACAUCUCGUUGGCGACAUGAAGUAUUUCGCCGACACGUCGCUCAAGCGAAGCAAAUUUUUAUGGGAAGGUGAGGAGUAGGAUGAAGCUAAGUCAGGAGACCUGCCUAAAAUCAUAAAGUAGU